CUCACGGCUGGGAAAGCUCAGUUCGUGUAGAUCACAUGGUUUGGAUUGAGGCGAUGAGCUCAUUUGGUUUAAAAGACAGUCAGGACUACAAAGACAAAUCCGUGCUACCUGAGAGUAUACCUGGGUAAUAUUUUAUCAAGCUAUAAAAGAGAGGGGUCUUUUAUUCCAUGGACCCUGGAACUGAAGAGAGAAAGCACAGCAGAAAGACGCUCUCGGACUUGAGGUUGAAGAGGAGGACAACAACGGGAGGGGAGAGGGUCGUCCCCCCCAACCUUCUCUUUCUCCAGCGACCUCCCCGGUUUGUCUGACUUGACUGGCCUUGACACCGCGGCAUAAAUACGCAGCAGAGGCCAAGUGAAAAUGAUAGCAUCCACGCCACAAGCUCUUCACAGUGAAACCCUGCAGGUUCUGGCACAUCAGCUGAACAAUGAAGGACUGUAGAGGCAUGUUAUGAUGUAUGAGCACCAUAAAGUCCUUUGUCAUCUAAGUGGUGUAAUUUUUAGAGUAUAAAUCUCCACCUGGCUGUCAUUUCAUAAGAUUUGCUUGCUGAACUUUUUUGUGCAAUUAUUCGACACCAGGAGUAAAAGACACACGCCUGCAGGACUUGAUCUGUCCAUCCUGUGAUAUUAUGUGUUGUAGAAAUCAACUUUGGAAAAAAU